GUUGUGGGGUUGGCCAGAAAGAGGGCCAGGAGAGCAGAGGCCGCGGUGUGUCCGCAGGUGCUGCAGCCGGGGUGUCUCCCAUCCCCACGCCGUCUCCGCGUCCCUCCCUGCGCUCCAGCCCCACACUGAGUGGGGCAGACGGGUGCUGCGCAGCGCUGGGUCGUGUGGUGUAAGCCUGCUCCCGCCAUGGCAGCAGUCUGCAAUCUGGGACAAAUCAUGGUCCCUCUCUUUGUUCCCAUUUGCAUUGCUAAAUUGUGUUAAUGAUACUUAUUAGCUAAUUCUAACAGCUGUUUCACAAGGUGAGGCGUAUUGACAUUGUUCACAACUUCAUUAGCAGUCGAUCUCUCUUAUUUUCAAGCCAAGAAAAUUUCAAACCAAGAAGAAAGCCAGUGAAAAUGAAUCAUGUAUUUAAAACACACCACGUUGUCUGGGAAAUGGCAACUUCAAAGCAAUUCUGCAUUUGUUCUGCUUUUUAUAGGUUUAUAUGCCUAUUUUUAUAGGAUCCAUUAUUUCUGGAGUCAGGGGAAGCUUGUAAACCUGGAUCAUAGAUUGCAAAUACUCAUGCAGUGUGUAUGCCUGUGAAGGCACCAGCAGAAAGAGCCAGAAGGCGUUCUGCAAACCCUUCGCUGGCAGAAGACCUUACACUCCCAACAACGGGACGACGGCAGCGUAUCGCGUGUGACAUUCCUUUUUCGAUUAGCCCGGCAGGAGGAUAACAGCAAAAUACCGCUCCUAACUAACGUGAAGGACCUGUCCAGAAAUGGGUUUGGCAGUGCCAAUGAAAAAAGAAACACAAGAGGCGUGAUGAGGACUUGAAAGCUGGUGUCUCUCGUCAUCCGUGUUGUACACAAAUUAUCCCAGCUUGAAUACGCUUGAAUAUGUAUAGCUUGGUGUUUGCAAGUGGGAGCAUGUAAAAACAACUUGCUUAGAGAUUUUGUAUAAUAAAAUCACCUUCCCCUUCCGUAA